rnacentral:rRNA from 1 species
GACGAACGCUGGCGGCGUGCCUAAUACAUGCAAGUCGAGCGCAGGAAGUCAUCCGAACCCUUCGGGGGGACGUUGACGGAAUGAGCGGCGGACGGGUGAGUAACACGUAAAGAACCUGCCCUCAGGUCUGGGAUAACCACGAGAAAUCGGGGCUAAUACCGGAUGGGUCAUCGGACCGCAUGGUCCGAGGAUGAAAGGCGCUCCGGCGUCGCCUGGGGAUGGCUUUGCGGUGCAUUAGCUAGUUGGUGGGGUAAUGGCCCACCAAGGCGACGAUGCAUAGCCGACCUGAGAGGGUGAUCGGCCACACUGGGACUGAGACACGGCCCAGACUCCUACGGGAGGCAGCAGUAGGGAAUCUUCCACAAUGGACGAAAGUCUGAUGGAGCAACGCUGCGUGAACGAUGAAGGCCCUCGGGUCGUAAAGUUCUGUUGUAAGGGAAGAACAAGUGCCGCAGGCAAUGGCGGCACCUUGACGGUACCUUGCGAGAAAGCCACGGCUAACUACGUG